ensembl:lncRNA
UGCACCCGCCACAUUUCAAGGCCUGAUGAGAAUAACAGGUUUUAACUUGGAAAUUCAACACAAGAAGGGGUGUGGGAAUGUGCUUGCUGAUGCGUUGUCAUGUGCCCUGUGAUUGGGCCUGGACAUAAUGAGAGGCUGUUGGUGGUUGGACCGGAGAAAAGACCUGGACUAUAAAUUUCCUGGCAUCCCACUGGAGGGAGCGCUCUUCCUCUUUGAUCGAUUACUCAGGCCUGUUUGUUGUGAUACUAUGCUAGCUGGUGAACAUUUGGUGCGACAGAUCAUGCUUUCUAUUCCAACCGAGUCUUGUUUG